CCAUCGGUGGUUCAGUGAUAGAAUGCUCGCCUGCCACGCGGGCGGCCCUGGUUCGAUUCCCGGCCGAUGCA
rnacentral:tRNA from 1 species